AAGCUAAAAAGAAAAUAGUGCAGAAAACUCUCUCUCUCUCUCUCCAAUUUCUGUGCGUUCUUCACUUUUCUCUCAUCCCUCUCUUUGUCUUCGAAUCCCAGUAGCAAACUAAGUGCUAGGAGCGGCGCAUCCAAGGCUUCAGGAGGACAACCGAAGCAAACUUGAAGAGGUUUGAAUUUAAUCGCUUAAGAUGAGGUUUUUAUCUGUAAGCAUAAAUUGUUUCAUGAUUAUAAUCAUUGUUGUGUCGUGCGUCAUUCAUAUGAACUGAUGGGCCCACAAAGAGUCAGAUCCACAAGGGAUCAAAGAGCUUAACGGCCCACAAGGGGUCAGGUCCACAAGGGACCGAGACUAGUCUCACAAAAUGUCAGCUAAGUGAAAAGAAGAAUUCAAUAUGUUAUGAUUCAUUAUACAAUUGGUUAUAACUGCUUGCAGCGUUUACCCCACUGAGUGUGUUUGCAUACUCAUACCCUAUUGUUUAUGUUUCUUUCUCCGGUUAAAGAGUUAGCGGCGAGACGAUAGACAUGGAGCUCCACACUCUCCCGUUCUAUUAUAUGAUGAAGUAUUAUAUAUUGCUAUUUUUGGUAAAUAUAUUUUGCUACUGGCUAACUUAGUCUCUUCUAAUUUUGGUGGUCGAGACCUUAUAUAUAUUGGUUUAUGAUUAUGCAUUUUGAUGACAA